GCACAAGCGGUGGAGCAUGUGGAUUAAUUCGAUGCAACGCGAAGAACCUUACCAAGGCUUGACAUGGGCCGGAUCGCCGCAGAGAUGUGGUUUCCCCUUUUGGGGCCGGUUCACAGGUGGUGCAUGGUUGUCGUCAGCUCGUGUCGUGAGAUGUUGGGUUAAGUGCCGCAACGAGCGCAACCCCUGUCCUUAGUUGCCAGCGGGUAAUGCCGGGGACUCUAAGGAGACUGCCGGGGACAACUCGGAGGAAGGUGGGGAUGACGUCAAGUCAGCAUGGCCCUUAUGUCCAGGGCUGCACACAUGCUACAUUGCGCGCCGCAGAGGGCUGCGAUCCCGCGAGGGGGAGCGAAUCCCAAAAAAGCGCGCCUGGUUCGGAUUGCAGUCUGCAACUCGACUGCAUGAAGUCGGAGUCGCUAGUAAUCGCAGAUCAGCAACGCUGCGGUGAAUACGUUCCCGGGC
rnacentral:rRNA from 1 species